GACGAACGCUGGCGGCGUGCUUAACACAUGCAGGUCGAACGGUAAGGCCCUUCGGGGUACACGAGUGGCGAACGGGUGAGUAACACGUGGGUGAUCUGCCCUGCACUUCGGGAUAAGCCUGGGAAACUGGGUCUAAUACCGGAUAGGACCACUGCCUGCAUGGGUGGUGGUGGAAAGCUUUUGCGGUGUGGGAUGGGCCCGCGGCCUAUCAGCUUGUUGGUGGGGUGAUGGCCUACCAAGGCGACGACGGGUAGCCGGCCUGAGAGGGUGACCGGCCCCACUGGGACUGAGAGACGGCCCAGACUACUGCGGGAGGCAGCAGUGGGGAAUAUUGCACAAUGGGCGCAAGCCUGAUGCAGCGACGCCGCGUGAGGGAUGACGGCCUUCGGGUUGCAAACCUCUUUCAGCACCGACGAAGCGCAAGUGACGGUAGGUGCAGAAGAAGGACCGGCCAACUACGUGCCAGCAGCCGCCGUAA
rnacentral:rRNA from 1 species